UACAGAGGUCUCAAGCGUUGUUCGGAUUCAUUGGGCGUAAAGGGCUCGUAGGCGGUUUGUCGCGUCGGGAGUGAAAACCUAUGGCUUAACUGUGGGCUUGCUUUCGAUACGGGCAGACUAGAGGUAUGCAGGGGAGAACGGAAUUCCUGGUGUAGCGGUGAAAUGCGCAGAUAUCAGGAGGAACACCGGUGGCGAAGGCGGUUCUCUGGGCAUGACCUGACGCUGAGGAGCGAAAGUGUGGGGAGCGAACAGG
rnacentral:rRNA from 1 species